UACGUAGGGUGCAAGCGUUGUCCGGAAUUAUUGGGCGUAAAGAGCUCGUAGGCGGUUUGUCGCGUCUGCUGUGAAAACCGGAGGCUCAACCUCCGGCCUGCAGUGGGUACGGGCAGACUAGAGUGCGGUAGGGGAGACUGGAAUUCCUGGUGUAGCGGUGAAAUGCGCAGAUAUCAGGAGGAACACCGGUGGCGAAGGCGGGUCUCUGGGCAGUAACUGACGCUGAGGAGCGAAAGCGUGGGGAGCGAACAGG
rnacentral:rRNA from 1 species